GACGAACGCUGGUGGCGUGCUUAACACAUGCAAGUCGAACGGAAAGGCCCUGCUUUUGUGGGGUGCUCGAGUGGCGAACGGGUGAGUAACACGUGAGUAACCUGCCCUUGACUUUGGGAUAACUUCAGGAAACUGGGGCUAAUACCGGAUAGGAGCUCCUGCUGCAUGGUGGGGGUUGGAAAGUUUCGGCGGUUGGGGAUGGACUCGCGGCUUAUCAGCUUGUUGGUGGGGUAGUGGCUUACCAAGGCUUUGACGGGUAGCCGGCCUGGGAGGGUGACCGGCCACAGUGGGCCUGAGGUACGGCCCAGACGCCUACGGGAGGCAGGAGUGGGGAAUAGUGCACAAUGGGCGGAAGCCUGAUGCAGCAACGCCGCGUGCGGGAUGACGGCCUUCGGGUUGGAAACCGCUUUCGCCUGUGACGAAGCGUGAGUGACGGUAAUGGGGAAAGAAGCACCGGCUAACUACGU
rnacentral:rRNA from 1 species